rnacentral:rRNA from 1 species
AUACGUAGGGUGCAAGCGUUAAUCGGAAUUACUGGGCGUAAAGCGUGCGCAGGCGGUUGUGUAAGACAGGUGUGAAAUCCCCGGGCUUAACCUGGGAAUUGCAUUUGUGACUGCACGACUAGAGUGUGUCAGAGGGGGGUGGAAUUCCACGUGUAGCAGUGAAAUGCGUAGAUAUGCGGAGGAACACCAAUGGCGAAGGCAGCCCCCUGGGAUAACACUGACGCUCAUGCACGAAAGCGUGGGGAGCAAACAGGAUUAGAAACCCUAGUAGUCC